rnacentral:rRNA from 1 species
CCUACGGGGCGCUGCAGUGGGGAAUAUUGCACAAUGGGCGCAAGCCUGAUGCAGCCAUGCCGCGUGUGUGAAGAAGGCCUUCGGGUUGUAAAGCACUUUCAGCGGGGAGGAAGGCGGUGAGGUUAAUAACCUCAUCGAUUGACGUUACCCGCAGAAGAAGCACCGGCUAACUCCGUGCCAGCAGCCGCGGUAAUACGGAGGGUGCAAGCGUUAAUCGGAAUUACUGGGCGUAAAGCGCACGCAGGCGGUCUGUCAAGUCGGAGGUGAAAUCCCCGGGCUCAACCUGGGAACUGCAUUCGAAACUGGCAGGCUAGAGUCUUGUAGAGGGGGGUAGAAUUCCAGGUGUAGCGGUGAAAUGCGUAGAGAUCUGGAGGAAUACCGGUGGCGAAGGCGGCCCCCUGGACAAAGACUGACGCUCAGGUGCGAAAGCGUGGGGAGCAAACAGGAUUAGAUACCCUAGUAGUC